UUCAAGAUGAAGCAUUAAAGCACCCAGAAUUGUUGGAGAAUGGUAUUUAGGAUGGUGAUUUGUUUGCAUUUGUUUGUGGAAAGGAAAAAGAUGGAUAUGUUCGUGCAGUUGGUUUGUCGCCAACUCCAUGUGACCUAGAGUUGCCAGGAACCAAUAGUAUAAAUCUACAAAGCUUCAAAUAGCAAUGGAAAAGUGUCGUGUAUCACACCUAAAAGUGGAACAUCUGCAAGACCAAAUGGAUGACAUGAAGAGGCAAAUGGUUGAGAUGAGGAAACUUUUUCUAUCUUCAUAGGGGCAACAAGAAGAAACAAAUAGCACACCUGGACAUGAACCAAAUACUCCACACCAGAACGUAAGGACAAGAGAAGCCAAUAAUACUGGAAAAAGUAAUUCUAUUUUAGAGGACGUGGCUGAGUCAAAUGCUUCUAUGCAGAAUGAUGACACUCUUAGUGGAAGAAGAAUUGUUAAUGUUGAGAAACAUAACAGACAACAAGGGGGUGGAAGAGAUGUGAUACUAUAUAGCAUAACUGUGGCACCCCGGCUUAGAGGAAACGGGAACACCCCGUAUUCCAGCCCAAGGACAAGUCUUCUGGAAUACAGAACCGUUG